GCUUCAGAAAACAGCAAAUAGAGAGAGAGUCUGAAAUGCAGAAAAUGUGAUGGUUGUGCUACGAGUAAAGGAUCUCCUAGAAAGUGAAAAAAAGAAAAUGCAGAGGCAGUGCUCAGUGAUAUACUGCAACUUUGGGAAACUCUUCAGUGGUUUUCUUUCGUGCUUCUCUGAGAUGAAGCUUGCAACUCUAGCAGGGGACUUCAGCAGAAACUCUCGUCUUGAUGCUGCUGCCAGGGGAUUUGGGGCAGAAGGGCUCUGUAACAGCAAAGCCUGGGCACCAGCACACAAACACAAUGAGCUGGGGAGCAGGUAUUUCUAAAGCCAGUUCUGCAGAGGAAUUAGAGAAACAAGUACUCAAAAGUAAGCAGUCCAAUUAGUUACCACUGUGCUGCAGUGGAUGAGAGCUGAGAGACACCUGUGCAAACCCAGGUGCUGGUGAUUGCGUGGGAGGGCACGGGGAGCAGUUACAGAGGCCUGCUGGGAGUUCAGAAGGAGCAUUCCCUGAGCUGAGUACACACGUACUUGCCUGCCUGGGAUUUAUUUCCAAAGCAUUGCCUGCUUGGAUAGCAUGAGGAACUCAUCCCCAUCAUCCUGGAUACCUUCACCAACCCAUCACCUGUCCGGCCAGCAUCACCAACCCAUCUCCUGCUUGGCUAGGUUCUGUGACCCUGAGCUGCCAGGUGGGGCUGCUUUAACCAAGGAGCACAGCUGCAUGGCCGGGCACCCAGAAACACAGCCUUGCACGCGUCGGGCACGGACACGCUGCUGCUGAGAGGGUGCUGAUGCCCAAGGGAGCACAGCGAUGGCACGGAGACGCUCACAGGGCAGAAACAAAUGGCGGCCACGCAGCAUCUACUUCCACGCUCAUGGAAUUGAAUCAACUGCAUUAAGCAAGCACCGGGCACUCCCACCUGAGCCAGCCUUUGCUGUCGGAGCAGUGCAGCGUGGCAAAACGGCCCCAAAGUGCCCCAAAAUGCUGCCAAGGGAGCUCACAGCACCCGGCCUGCUUCGGAGGAAGGAGAGGGAAAAUAACACACACCACCCCUUUGGGAAUUAGGAGAGGAGCUGCUAUUUUGAAGAGCGAGCCCAAAUGAGGCGAAGCAGUGACGCGUAACCCAAGGAAAACAGAAUUUUUGUGUCUCUUGUGCCACCCAUUGCACCCCUGGGCACUGCUGCCACCCUGGGCAUGUGGUGGGUGGGAAAGAUGGAAGAAACACCAAUCAGUGUCCACAGUGCACCUUCCCUUCUUCAAAAAAAAUCAUAGAAUCAUGGAAUGGUUGGGUUGGAAAGGACCUCCAACAUCACCCAGUUCCAGCCCCCCUGCCGUGGGCUGGGUGCCCCCCACCAGAUCAGCUGCCCACGAUCCUACCCAGCUUGGCCUCGAACACCUCCAGGGAUGGAGCACCCCAUGCUUCUCUGCCAAGGACCUACCUCCGAGCUCAGCUGCCUCCAAGCGCCAGAGGGGCACAUCCCCAUGGCACGUUCAUAUUCCAUGAAAUCGUGGCCACUUCUCUUCCCACCCACAGGACCUCUUCCAUCCCAUCCUCGCGCUCAGACAUUCCUGUCUCCCUCCAGAAGUGGGGGGCUGCAGGACAGGGCCAGACAUUCCCUCCACGCCAGCCCCACCUCCAACCCGUGCUGAAAAUCACUCCUCUUCGCCCCCACAUGUUUUCCCCUUACAGAUAGAGCUCUCUCCAGACCUGCUAUAAUUUUGCUCCACAUCCCACUGUGGCUGCAGCUGCUCCCAGUCUGACAUCUGUACAUUUAAUCAAUGUGCCAUUUGUCCGCCCCGCCAGGUCAUUACCAGGGAUACGAAAUAACGCUAUUCCCAGCCCUGAGCUCAGCAUAUCCCAUCUUAUAGAACAGACACAGCAUAAUGACCAUAAAGAAACGGAGAGUCCGAUUUGUUAUGAUAAAAUAGGGAACAGUUACUAAGAAAUAGAAUAUACCUAAGGGAACUGGACUUUAUGCUGUAGAUAAAUUACCCGCCAGCUGCACGAUGCGUCCCGAGCGGGGCACUGAAAACUGGAAAGGAAAACUGCAUGUGGUUUUUCUGACUAUCAAAUAUACUCACUUUGUAUAUAAAACAUAACGCCUCGAAUAAAAUGUAAAGGUACGAGCAAGGAAAACGUAAAACCAUGUUAUAUUUAAAUGUAUAUUUUGACACCGUGUCCCCCAGCUCUGUGUCCCAGCAUCAACCAUCACUGAGCAUCCUCAGGGGGUUUAAAAAAAAAACCCAAAAUAAUUAAACCCCUGAGUUGAUAAACAGGAAAAAGAUCUGGUAAGAAGCUGAAAAGAUUUAAAAAAAAAAAAAAAA